AGACGUCUACAUUAGAUACCCGGGUAGUCCCAGCCGUAAACUAUGCGCGUUAGGUGUAUCGGUGACCACGAGUUACCGAGGUGCCGAAGGGAAACCGUGAAACGUGCCGCCUGGGAAGUAUGGUCGCAAGGCUGAAACUUAAAGGAAUUGGCGGGGAGCACCACAACAGGUGGAGCCUGCGGUUUAAUUGGACUCAACGCCGGGAAGCUCACCGGAUAGGACAGCAGAAUGAUUGCCGGGCUGAAGACCCUGCAUGACUAGCUG
rnacentral:rRNA from 1 species